rnacentral:rRNA from 1 species
GAGGGGCAUCGGGAGGGAAGCUUGCUUUCCUUGCCGGCGACCGGCGCACGGGUGAGUAACACGUAUGCAACCUGCCCUCUUCAGGGGGACAACCUUCCGAAAGGGAGGCUAAUCCCGCGUAUAUCGGUUUCGGGCAUCCGAGAUCGAGGAAAGAUUCAUCGGAAGAGGAUGGGCAUGCGGCGCAUUAGCUUGACGGCGGGGUAACGGCCCACCGUGGCGACGAUGCGUAGGGGUUCUGAGAGGAAGGUCCCCCACACUGGUACUGAGACACGGACCAGACUCCUACGGGAGGCAGCAGUGAGGAAUAUUGGUCAAUGGGAGAGAUCCUGAACCAGCCAAGCCGCGUGAGGGAAGACGGCCCUAUGGGUUGUAAACCUCUUUUGUCGGAGAACAAAACCCGGGACGUGUCCCGGACUGCGUGUAUCCGAAGAAAAAGCAUCGGCUAACUCCGUGCCAGCAGCCGCGGUAAUACGGAGGAUGCGAGCGUUAUCCGGAUUUAU